rnacentral:misc_RNA from 1 species
CGAAUCGGCGGUGUGCUGGAUGGCGCGCUCUCCCUGUCCUUGAUCGGAGGGACAGAUUCAGAUCCUGGCUCUUGAUCGGUUUUCGGUUUGUUCUUUGGUUUCGAUCUGCCAUAUAUGAAGCUACCGACUACCAACUGAACUGCGGUUGCUGCGAUGAGCUGCCCUCCUAUGCUACCACCGACAACACGACCAUCAGGGCUAGAUAGGACGAUGCUUAGGCCACCGUUUCGGCUACGGGAUUCACCGUCUUCGGUCAGCAUAUAAGAGCCAUACAAGCUAAGAAUAUCAAACCGGCCCUCAUAAGUGAUGGUACCACCAGAAACAGCAGGUUGAAGCAAGGUCACUGUUGAGACUGCACCGGUUGCUGAGAGGAUGGACACUGCCCUUG